ACAUGAUUUAAACUUCGGUAGGCCUACAUUGUUUUGAACAUCUGUACGUACAGUUAUACUCUUCCACUCUUUUGUAGCUGUUCGCACUUAGCUAAAUGAAUUUCUCCUUGCUAACUAGCUUUCUGCAGUUCACUUGCUUUAGCUGUUUAGAUUACAGUGCUUUAGGCUGCAGGCUAAUAAUCUGGUAAAACUGUCCAACCCAGAUGCUAUGUGAAGAACCGCAUAGUUACACAUGUUUAGCGUUGUUUCAAAAACGGGGUCAAUACAAAUGACACCAGCUCCCGAACUGGACUGAAAGCGGAAGGCAACAGGUUUUGUACCCGCAACAGUCUUUGCACUUACUGUACACCGGUUCAUUCUUGCUCAGUAGAUGGCGCGGUUACACUUUAAGAAUUCACUGACUAUUCUCAUCAAGCAUGAAUAAAAGAGGCCUGUUGGUGUAGUCAAUAUGAUCCACCUGGCAGCACAGCACCUGCCUGGGAG